GGCCUGGUGAAGAUGCAGCAGGGCGCCCCGCCCCCCCGGCUGCCGGAGCCCGGGCCCCGCCCUCCCAUGCUGCCCCCGCUGUCCCAGCUCAACGCCAUGCGAGGCAUGGCCCCCAACAACCCCCCGCCUCCCGGGAUCUCGGUGGGGCCCCCCCCACUCCAGAGGCCACAGAGAGGACCCCCCCCUCCUCCUGGGGAGGACAUCAGAGAGGUACUGCCCACGGAGCGCGACAGGAGACACAGAAAGAGGAGAUCGCAGGGAGUCCCUCAGUACUCGGCGCAAACAACAGGACAGGAGACGCAGUGAGGGAGGAGAUCACGGAGGACAUCUUAGUCAUUAACACACAGCAGGAAACACAGUGAGAGGGGAGAAUCCCUCAGUACUAACACAGGGCAGGACAGGAGACACAGCGAGAGAGAGGGGGGAGAUCACAGACGAUCCCUCAGUAAUAACACAGAGUGGGACAGGAGACACGGCGAGAGAGAGAGGGGAGAUCACAGAGAAUCCCUCAGUAAUAACACAGAGUGGGACA
rnacentral:lncRNA from 1 species